rnacentral:rRNA from 1 species
UACGUAGGGGGCAAGCGUUGUCCGGAAUUAUUGGGCGUAAAGCGCGUGUAGGCGGCCAGAUAAGUCCGCUGUGAAAUCUCGAAGCUCAACUUCGAGCUGUCGGUGGAAACUGUCUGGCUAGAGUCCGGAAGAGGAGAAUGGAAUUCCUGGUGUAGCGGUGAAAUGCGCAGAUAUCAGGAAGAACACCCGUGGCGCAAGGCGGUUCUCUGGGACGGUACUGACGCUGAGACGCGAAAGCGUGGGGAGCGAACAGG